UUGAUUUUAAUAAUGUCUCCACGUGAUUAUGGGCAUGCGUAAUUCUUUUUAUUUUUUUAAUUUUUUAAUGUUUAUUUUUGAGAGAGAGAGAGAGUGUGAACAGGGGAGGGACAGAGAGAGAGACACACACACAGAAUCCAAAGCAGGUUCCAGGCUCUGAGCUGUCAGCACAGAGCCCGAUGCAGGGCUCAAACACACGAACCGUGAGAUCAUGACCUGAGCUGAAGUCGGUCGCUUAACAGACAGAGCCACCCAGGCAACCCUUCUUUCUUUUUUGAUUUUUUUUUUUUUUUUUUUUUUUUUUUUUUUAUUGUGCAAUUCUUUCUGAUUUCUCCUGGCAGGGUAUUGUUUCCACCUCCUGUCCUGUCCUCCAGUGUGAGGCCUGAUGGUAUGUUUCCCCACCUGUGAGGUUGGGCGCAAGUAUCCCUUGGGCAGAGACUAAGCAUCAGCCCAGCAGUCUAAUAUGUAGGGGUCUUCCCAGACUCUGGCCAAAAUGAACAUAAAAUGCACUUCAUCUUGGUGUUUGAGGAGCAAGAGCUACUUGUGAGCAAAUGACAAUUACUUGGAGUAUUGUGUCCUUGCUCAUCUGUAAAGUAGGGAUGAUGAUAGUGACAUGUUUUACAUAGAGCAUAGUGCAUGUGAACAGUUUAAGGCACAGCCUGGACCCUCAGGAGUUGUGGAUAAGUGAGAGCUGUUGGAGGAGGCUAUUACGAUUUUGCUGCUCUUGGUUGGCCCUUGGUAUAAGAUUGUGCCACUGGCCAUCUGAACCUGCCUCAGAUGACAGGGACAGGUUUAGAGCCAUGGGCACGGGAGGAAAGCUUUUCACCCAAAGCCCUCCUUCUUACUUGCAAAAACUUCCAAGUGUAUUUCUGAUAGGAGAGAAGGGAAGGAAACCCCAUAAAUGACAGAAUAUUUUGGCUUCAAAUGUGGACUGAAUCCUCAUGUUUCACAUUUAAGUGAAAUCUUAACCUGUCCCUUGCCACUUCUCGAGUCUAAUCUCGAAGUCUGGGUAAUGUGCUUCCUCAAGGGAAGGGGUUCAGAGAUCUGGGUUCAUAAGUAGAGAAGAUGAAGACCCCAGCAAGAGAUACAUUCUGGGGAGUGUGACACCUAUACCCCCAAGCUUCUAGGUUGUUUUUGGCCUAUAGCACAAGAGUGUAACUAAAUUUCUCUCUAGGGAUCAAAUGUCAGGCAGACCUAAGUGACGAUGGGGUUUGGCGUGAAGCAGACCUGGGUUUGAAUCAGAGAUCUUGGACAGAAUCUUUCUGCUCUUUGGGUUUCAGUUUCCUCCAGAACAGCUGCUUCAGGAUGCCCUUGUGAGCAGAAACCGAAGUGACAUCUGCAGAGCAGAUGGCCUGGCAGUUACUAUUCUGUUUCCAUGAGUUCAGCUGUUUCAAGUUCCACAUGUAAGUUUUUUCUUCCAGAGCCCAAAGCCUUAGGAUUCCUGGGAACUGCAAUGAAUCCCAUCCCUGCCUCUUGCUUCUGGAUUCCAGCCAUUUGUCAGUCUAUGCAGUGGCCAGUGAGGCUUGGAAGAGGGUCCGCUUGUUGGGUCCUGCCAUGCUCCACACAGGCCUGUAUUAAGGGUGUUGGGUGAGGGAGGGUUUGGGAAGAGGUGAAAGUCAUGGCUGUGUCCUAGAGAAACUGACAAGCACUAGCUUAACAACCUAGGUGAUGAUGGGUGUGCUGCAGAACAGAGGGUGUGGUGCCCUCGUGGUGAGGUCUGCUGGGCUCUGUUCUGCCUCCUGGGGACUGGUCUUAGGCAAGACCUUGACCGCUCACUCAGGGCAAUUCUUUUCUCCUACCCUGGGCUGCUGCCUGGUGCUGGGGUUCCCAGGGGGCCUGGCCACCUCCUCAGCACUGCCUGUGCCUUCCUCAUCCACUGCAGAUUCAUGGGGUUUGAGGCAUAGGAGAUACAGAUUCAGAAGCUGCAGCUGAUGAAUGGGUCCCAGUGACGAUCUCUUCCAGGUCCUCCAGAGCUGUGGGCCACAGGCUGAAAGGGAGGUGUGCAGAAACCCAUCCUAGAUUAGAGAACAUUGCCCUCACUUCUUGGCUUUGCCUUCAAGAAGUGAUAUUUGAGGGGUGCCUGGGUGGCUCUCUGUUGAGCAUCUGACUCUUGAUUUCAGCUCAGGUCAUGAUUGCAGGAUCAUUGGAUCAAGUUCUACAUCAGGCCCUGUGCUGAGUGAGGAGCCUGUUUGGGAUUCUCUCUCUCCCUUAAAAAAAAAAAAAAAAGUGGUAUUUGAUGUUUCAAGUCAGACCCACCCUACACCACUUGGGAAGGAAAAGGAAGCAUGGAAAGGGUUAAUUAAGUGGUUUGGUUCCCUUACAGCCAGUCUGGGCUUCCUCACCAAUCUCUGUCCACAUGGAGGCACCCUGGGAAAUUGCACACUUAGAACUCAUGCUAUCUAACCUGUGCUCCAUAGGGAGCUGAGCCUCAGCGGGAUUAGAUUCCUGAGGUUGCUAUAACAAACUACCACAAACCUGGUGGAUUAAAACAACGGAAAUGUAUUUUCACGUUCAGGAAGCCAGAAGUCCAAAAUCAAGGUGCUGGCUGGCAGUUGAUUUCCUUCUGGAGGCCCUGAAGAUUCUGUUUUAUGCCUGUCUCAGCUUCUGGUGGUCGCAGGCAGUCCUUGGAGUUCCUUGGCUAGUAGAUGCAUUAUUCCCAUCUCUGCCUCCACUCGCAUCACCUGGGUGUCUCUGUCCUCUCCUCUUGGGACACCAAGGCCAAAAACCCAGGGAGCACUUUAACCUACAUCCCUUUGCCACAGGCUGUCCUCUGUAUCAUUGUCAGUAAUUAAUACUUGCAGUUUUGUCAAAAGACUUACUGAGACUGAUCAGAGGCCGAGGGCAGUGUGGACAGCCUGUGGGAAUGUGUGAAGCACUCCUCCCUGUACCAGCUCUUCCAUCAGUGCAGUGGUCUCUUCCCCAGUGCUGUACUGCCUUACCCACACCACAGGGCUGGGCUGGGGCACCUGGUGGGUCCCACAUGGGUACUGCUCCCACUGACACUGUCCUCAUUGUAACAUUUUCCCAACAGGAACGCUUCUUACCAUCAAAAGAUGUACUACACAUACUUGAAACCUUUUUUAUAAAUAGAUCUUGUAGUACCUGUUACAAGCACUUGGGUGUAUGGCAUGUCCAUUAAAUAAAACUUAGGUUACUUUCAAAGACCACAGCAGGGCAAUUCAUUUUUGUUAUAUCAACAUUCUUGACAGAGGCAAAUAAUUUACUUCAUCUUGUGUAUAGUUCUUUGAUUAAAAAUGCACUUUUGGGGGGGCACCUGGGUGGCUCAGUUGGUUAAGUGUCUUGACUCGGCUCAGAUCAUGACCUCACCGUUCGUGGGUUCAAGCCCCACUCGGGCUCUGCGCGGACAAUGUGGAACCUGCUUAGGAUUCUCUCUCCCUCUCUCUGCCCCUCCCCAACUCAUGCUUUCUCUCUUUCUCUCAAAAUGAAUGAACCUUUUAACUAAAUAUUAAUCUUGAAAAAAAAAAAAGACAUUUGUUUUAUAACAACAUUCCAUUCAUGUGUAUCUUGUCUGUACCUGUAUCCUUUCACUGCAUAUAGUGAUUUGUGUUGUACCAACCCAACAUUCCAAGAGAUACAGAAUAGAUCACCCAAUCCUCUGGCACAAAAAAAAAAAAAAAAAAAAAGAGAAUCUUGAUCUGAACCUCACAUCUUCUACAAAAACUCAAAAUGGAUAAAUGGAUCAUAGAUUUAAAUGUAAAGCAUAAAACUGUAAAGUUUAGAAGGUAACAUAGGAGAACAUCUUUAGGGUUGAAGAGUUCUUAGGACACCAAAAAGCAUGAUCCACCAAAACCCAAAAGCAAAUGAUGAACUGUGCUCCAUAUCGUGGAAUGCUGAGUGGCAGUAAGAAGGAAUAAACUACAUGCAACAACUUGAAUGGAUCUCAGGGGAAUUGCAUUGACUGUUAACAGCCAAUUUCAAAAGGUCCCAUACUGUGCGAUUCCAUUUAUGCAAUAUAUUUUUUUCUGAUAUUCUUGAAAUAACUAAAUUCUAGAGAUGGAGAACAGAUUAGUGGUGGCCAGGGGUUAAAGAUGGGGGACAGAGGUAGGUAGUUAUAAAGUAAAAGCCUGAAGGAGCCUUGUGAUAGAAUAGUUGUGUGUCUUGAUUAUGUUGGUGGUUACACCAAUCUACACAUGAAUGAAACGGAACAAAACCGUAUACACAGAUACAAAUGAAUGCAUGUAAAACUGGUGAAAUAUGUCUAAGCUCUAUGAAUUGCCCCAAUGUCAAUUUUAGUGAUGAAUCUAAAAAGUUUAGCUGGGAUACUAACAGUAGGUGGAAGUAUCAGCCAGUAGGUACAAUGUAUUUUUCCUUAUUUUUUUCCAACAGUCUCAUGAAGUAAAGCCAGGAUACCCUUUGAAUGGAUAUUGUUCUCAGUCUAGCCCGAUCUGUCUUACAGUUAAUGAUAAACACCUAAAGCCAGACUCAAGAAAGAAUUAUUAGUGAAGUUUAACAUCAAAGAGCAUGCAUUCACAAGUGAAUACAACAAAGUUAUGUAUUGCAAACACUGUUUAUAAUAGCCAAAGAAUGGAACUUUCCAAAUACCCAUCAACAGGGGAUGACAGUAUAUCCAUGCACUGAAAUACUGUACACAGGAAAAACAGCCACUGGAUUUUAGAGACUGGUAUGAAAAAAGAAUGUAAAAUAUCUCAAUAAAUUUGUUUUUUACAUAUGGAAAUGGCAUUUUGACGAUAUUACAUUAAAUAUAGUAUAUGAACAUUAUUUCUGAGAUAUGGAAACAACCUAAAUGUCCAUCGAGAGAUGAACAGAUAAAAUGUGCUAUAUACAUAUAAUGGAAUAUUAUUCAGGAAAAAAAAAAUUCUUCCACAUGCGACACAAGUAAACCUGAAGGACAUUAUGCUAAGUGAAAUGAGCCAGUCACAGAAGCACAAACUGUGCCAUGAUCUCACUCAUACGAGGUAUCUAGUCACUCACAGAAACUAGAAUGAUGGCCCGAGGAAAACGGGCAGUUGCUGUUGAACGGGUGUCAGAUUCCACUUAACACAAGACGAGUGAAUUCUAGAUACCUGUACAACGUUGGGCCUGUCAUUAACAAUACUACCAUGUACACAUAAACAUCUGAUAAGAGGAUGGAUGUCAGGGUGGACGUCAAGUUCAGUGUUUUUACCAAAAAUGAACACACACGACCCCAAAGGGCACAAGGAAUCUUCUGGAAGUGGCGUUUAUUACCUUGAUUACAAUCAUUUCACAGGUGUAUGCAUGUGUUCAAACCCAUCAGAUUGUAUACAUUAAAUACGUGCAGUUUUGUAGAACAACUACAUUUCAGUAGAGCCACCUUUUGUUUUUACUUUAAUGGAGAUAUAAGAAAAUAUAAAAUUACAUCUAUGGCUUGCAUUGUAUUUGUAUUGGACUGCUCUGCUCUAGCCAGAGAAAUGUUUGAUGGUCACUGCCUGCUGAAAAUAGGAUACAAAGAACCUAGGGUUGGAAAGACUUCCCUGUAUAUCCGUCAACUUACCAGUGUAUCAUUUUUUGAACAUAAUGUAUUAAAAAUCAACUUCAGUAGUUCUUAUACUGGAUAGACUCAGAAAUCCUGAAUUCUCAGUUGCUAGGUCUUGGUUGAAAACUCUAACACCCUUGGAAAAACUCCACAGUAACCAAGUAAUAUCUUCACUAAACUAAAGUUACAUCUUAUUUUAAUCUGAUAGUUUUCCUAACCCAAAAGGCCACAUCAGGUUACAUGACAUCCAAUUUCACUUUGAUGUUCAUAGCUGCCAGUUCGGCUACAAAAUACCGGAAAACGUAAGGCACAGAAACAGUGUCAAUAGUAUCGCUGCGAUUACAUAAAGUACAGUUGUACUUUCUGUUGCGCAUGGCAGACCAAGAAGGGGGUGGCUUCUCCAACAGUGGAGAGAGUAAACUACCACACUCCACGCACACGUGGGCUACCGAUCGAUCCGAACAGUUGAAGAGGCGGUCAUGAAGGAGAAAAGAUGUACCGUGGGCUAAAAGAGCAUCCCGCUCCAUUUCCCCAAAACGGAUUCCGCCCUGGACGUUUCUUCCCCCAAUAGGCUGGUUAGUGACUUUGUCUCUGGCUCCCGUCGUUCUAACCUGGAAUUUGUCUGAGACCAUGUGGCGUAAACGUUGAUAAUAAACCACGCCUAUGAAGAUGUCUGCUUCCAGUUCUAUCCCACUGAUGCCACUAUACAGCCUCUCGGUGCCAUAGAAGUUGUAGCCAGCAGCUUUCAACAUCUCACCGAAGUAUUCUAAGGCUGAGUUCUCCUCUGAAAAGGUGAAGGGUGUAGCAUCGUGGCAGAGACCGUGCAAAGCAGCAGACUUCCCCGCCAUACUCUCAAUUAACAUACCAAUGGUCAUGCGGGAGGGAAAACCAUGAGGAUUGAACAAAAUGUCUGGGACCAUCCCACUCUCAGAAAAUGGCAUGUCCUCAGCUGGCCACAACCGGCUCAAGAUGCCCUUCUGCCCAUGACGACUGGCAAAUUUAUCUCCGAUAGUUGGGUUCCGAGGGACUCUCAUCGUGAUGCAAAUACACUUGAAUUUCCCACUGCCGGUGUCAUUACUGCACACUUUGAUGUUAUCUACAAUGCAAUUUUCUUUACUCCUAGGAAAAAAUAAGCAGACGGGAGGUCAAACUAUGUUCUUUAAACUUACAAAGACACUUAAGUCUUAUUGAUACAAUUAGUGUGUCAUAUAGGAUAUUUGCAAAACUUAUUCCUAGCUCUACUUUCCAGUACAAAUAGAGAUGGUGUCCCUAUGAGUAUUUACGAACACGGCUACUGAUUACGUUCACUACACAACUAUGCCCAUCUGAAAGAACGGCGACAGAGGCAACUGAAAAACUAUGAUGAAGACCUACUGUUGAAACAAUUUUCUGGAUGUAAAAUAAGCUAAGAAGUUUUUAAUUUUAAUAAAAGGCACAGUGAACUUGA